AAACCAGCACCUCAAGUGGUCAGGAUGAUUAUUGGGCCUAAAGCAUCCGUAGCCGGCUCUGUAAGUUUUCGGUUAAAUCUGUACGCUCAACGUACGGGCUGCUGGGAAUACUGCAGGGCUAGGGAGUGGGAGAGAUAGACGGUACUCGGGAGGAAGUGGUAAAAUGCUUUGAUCUCUCGAUGACCACCUGUGGCGAAGGCGGUCUACCAGAACACGUCCGACGGUGAGGGAUGAAAGCUGGGGGAGCAAACCGGAUUAGAAACCCCGGUAGUCC
rnacentral:rRNA from 1 species